UGCAGAUUAUAUUACUUUCUCAGCUACUAGUUUUUAAAAAAAUAAAAUAAAAAAGUAUCCUGCUUUUUGUGUGUCAGGAGCGACUUGAGUACCUGUAAGUUGCUUCUAGUGUGAGAGAAUUGGCCAUCUGCAAGAACGUUGCACAGGGGACGCCCAGAUGUUUUACCAUCCUGUGGGAGGCUUCUCUCAUGUCCCCGUAUGGGAAGCUGGAGCUGACAGAUGGAGGCUCACCCUGCUCCCUGGAUUUGAACUGCCAACCUUUUGGUCAGCAGUCCUGCUGGCACAAGGGUUUACGGGGGGCUACUUUUUAGUAUUGUGCUGAGAAAGGUUUUUAAAAGUGGGGAAGCAUUCCAUUAUGUGAGUUCCCAUCUUCACUAUGAGUUGGUACAACCCAGCCACUUAAAACUAUUCAUCCAUAUUUGCAGGUUAAAGAUUUCAUUUUUCACAGGUUGCUAUAUUUUACUGCCACGUCCACUAGAACCUAUAACAUGAUUCUUUGUUAAACUUGAUUUUGUGGAAAACCACGGCAAGGGUUUUACACCUCUUAUCAGUAUUUUUUCCAUUUUUUAAAAAACAGAAAUACAGUGUGCUGUUAACAUCCACUGGGGUUUGAUUCCAGGACACCUGUGGAUACCAAAAUGCAUGGAUGCUCAAAUUCAUUAUCUACAAUCACUUAACAAAAUGGUGUCCCUUAUAUAAAAUGGCAAAAUCAAUAUUUGCUUUUUAGAUUUGUUAUAAAAAGUCAUGGAUGGAGAAAUCUGUGGACACAGAGCACCAACUAUAUAGCAGUAGUUGAAAAUGGUGGCUAAAUAAUUCAUGCUACUACCCAGGUAGGAGACCCGGUGGCGAAGUGUGUUAAAGCACUGAGCUGCUGAACUUGCAGACCUAAAGGUCCUAGGUUCAAACCCCGGGAGCGGCGUGAGCGACUGCUGUUAGCUCCAGCUUCUGCCAACCUAGCAGUUCAAAAACAUGCCAAUGUGAGUAGAUCAAUAGGUACCGUUCUGGCGGGAAGGUAAUGGCGCUCCAUGUAGUCAUGCCGGCCACAUGACCUUGGGGGUGUCUACGGACAACGCCGACUCUUCGGCUUAGAAAUGGAGAUGAGCACCAACCCCCAGACUCCGACAUGACUGGACUUAACAUCAGGGGAAACCUUUACCUUUUACUACCCAGGUUAAAAUUUCCCCCCAAAGAGGAAAAAACUAGUACAUUUAGAGAAAGUAUAGUGAAGAGAGAAUGGUAUUGCAUACAAAAACUGCAGUCAUCGGACCCUUCCACACAGCAAAAAAAUGCAGAAUAUCAAGGCAGAAAAUCUCACUAUAUCUGCUUUGAACUGGAAUAUCUGAGUCCACACUGCCAUAUAUUCCAUUUCCAAGCAGAUAAUGUGGGAUUUUAUUCAGCUGUGUGGAAGGAGCUAUUGUUUCUACUUCUUCCUCUCCAGGACAAAAAUUAGCAACACACCAAAACACUCAAACCAAAUAAACGGGGAGAAGAACCAUCUAAGACCACUAUCCUUGAUGGCCUAGAGAGAAAUACCUGGACAAAUCCCACUGUUAAAUAUCUCAAGGGUUUUGUUCCUUGCAAAUGUUUUGAAGAAGGGCCAGGCAUUCAUAGCCAAAAGCACAUGGAAUUAACCUUGAAAUUCUCCCAAUAAUUAUUCAUAGGUCAAAUGUACAACUUGGAAUUGUUCCCUUUUGGACCGCAACUACCAAAAUCUCCCAGUAGACAUUUCCAUUGGCACAACAACAACAACAACAACAACAACGAUUUCAUUUUUUACCAAGCCACUCACUAUUUAUUUGUUAAUGUCUAUAUUUGGUAGCCUGUAUUCUAUGUGUAUGUUGAUUUGACUCUUUGGUGCGGAAGGAGUUAUAGACAUGUGAUUAUACUGAGCAUGUGCAGACUCAAGACUCCAUUUUAUAUUCAGUAUCUGUUUGGACUUCAAUGGGAGUAGAGGUCUUGCAUUAGACCUCAGAGGAGAUGAAUGCAUACAAGUUGCUGUUUGGACUUCAGUGGAGAAGUCAAUUUAGAGACUUCAUUAUUUGCUUAUGGACUUCGGUGGGGCAUAAUCCGGAAUUCUAAUUACAGAGAGACUGAAGGAAGAGGAGGAGGAAGUGGAGAAAAAUCACCAUGUCAACUGACAUUUUUCCUACUAUACUAUCCUGAUCCAUAUUGCAUAUCUGCACACUCACUUGAAAAAAGAAGAGAGGCCAACCAAGGGCAAGAUGGAUGGAUGGUAUCCUUAAAGUGACUGGCUUGACCUUGAAGGAACUGGAGGCGAUGACGGCUGACAGGAAAUUCUGCCGUCGGCUGGUCCAUGAGGUCACGAAGAGUCGGAAGUGACUAAACGAAUAAAUAACAACAAUUGUUCUUAUGGCAUCGAAUAGCUGCCAACAUGUAAAGAUGCCAUGAGUCCCCUUGGGGGUGGAGAAAGGUGGGAUAGAAAUGUGUUGUUGAAGGCUUUCAUGGCCGGAAUCACAGGGUUGUUGUGUGUUUUUCGGGCUGUAUGGCCGUGUUUCAGAAGUAUUUGUCCUGACAUUUCGCCCACAUC